UCAAGCUACAAAGGGCGCAAGGAGAAUGCCUUGGCACUGGGAGCCGAUGAAAGACGUGGUAAGCUGCGAUAAGCUUCGGGGAGGAGCAAACAUCCUUUGAUCCGGAGAUUUCUGAAUGAGGAAACUCACCAGAGUUCAUACUCUGGUAUCCUGUACUGAAUCCAUAGGUACAGGAGGGGAACCGCCUGAACUGAAACAUCUAAGUAGGGCGAGGAAGAGACAUCAAACGAGAUUCCGUUAGUAGUGGCGAGCGAACGCGGAAGAGGGCAAACCGGAAGGAGAAAUCCUUCCGGGGUAUGGACCGCAUUUAGGACUUUAGCUGUUAAUCGAAUGGCAUGGGAAGGCCAACCAAAGAGUGUGAGAGUCACGUAGAUGAAAACGGCGAGAGCUGCGCGAGUUCCAGAGUACGGCCAGACACGUGAAACCUGGUCGGAAGAUGGGGGGACCACCCUCCAACCCUAAAUACUACCCAGUGACCGAUAGCGUAUAGUACUGUGAAGGAAAGGUGAAAAGGACCCCGGGAGGGGAGUGAAAAAGAACCUGAAACCUUGUGCCUACAAGCACAUAGAGCACAUCAACGUGUGAUAUGGUACUUUUUGUAGAACGGUCCGGCGAGCGAUUGUAUGUUGCGAGCUUAAGGUCUUAAGGACUGGAGGCGCAGCGAGAGCGAGUCUGAAGAGGGCGUUCAGUAACAUGCAAUGGGCCCGAAACCGGGUGACCUACCCAUGAUCAGGCUGAAGUGAAAGUAAAAUUUCAUGGAGGGCCGAACCGACCUCCGUUGAAAAGGCGGCGGAUGAAUUGUGGGUAGCGGAGAAAUUCCAAUCGAACUCGGAGAUAGCUGGUUCUCCCCGAAAUAGCUUUAGGGCUAGCCUCAUAUUAGAUACCCGGAGGUAAAGCACUGAAUGGCCUAGCGCCCGAGAGGGUAGCGAAGCCUAUCAAACUAAGAAUGCCGGAGUAUUGAUGUAUGGGAGUCAGACAGUGUGAGAUAAAUCUCAUUGUCAAAAGGGAAACAGCCCAGAUCUACAGCUAAGGUCCCAAAUUGUAUCUAAGUGGAAAACGAUGUGGAAAUACGCAGACAACCAGGAUGUUGGCUCAGAAGCAGCCACUCAUUUAAAGAGUGCGUAAUAGCUCACUGGUCGAGCGUCUCUGCGCGGAAAAUUUAACGGGGCUAAGAUACAAACCGAAGCUUAGGCUGCACGUAAGUGCGGGGUAGGGGAGCGUUGUGUAAGCGGAGAAACAGUAGCGUAAGCGGCUGUGGAGUUUACAGAAGUGAGAAUGCCGGAAUGAGUAGCGCGAAUGUGGUGAGAAUCCACAUGGCCGGAAACCUCAGGUUUUUGGAGGAAGGUUCGUCCGCUCCAAGUUAGGCGGGAGCUAAGGUCAGGCCGAAAGGCGUAGCCGAUGCACAGACGGUAGAGAUUCCGUCCCCACCGAAAGAUUUAAGCACAGGGACACUUUUUGAAGGUCGGAGCCAGGUGUUGGUUCUGGUAGAGAUCGAGGGAAAUAUAGUACCGAAGUCCGGCUGGAAGAGAGGCGAGAAAAGCUGUGUGUAUAUCUAAGGUGCCCGUACCGCAAACCGACACAGGUAGGUAGGAAGAAGAUUCUAAGGCCAACGGGAGAAGGGUUGUUAAGGAACUCGGCAAGUUGACCCCGUAACUUCGGAAUAAGGGGUGCUCACGAGAGUGAGCCGCAGAGAAUAGGCCCAGGCAACUGUUUACCAAAAACACAGGUUUGUGCUAAAUCGAAAGAUGACGUAUACGAGCUGACGCCUGCCCGGUGCUGGAAGGUUAAAAGGAGAUGUGCAAGCAUUGAAUUGAAGCCCCAGUGAACGGCGGCCGUAACUAUAACGGUCCUAAGGUAGCGAAAUUCCUUGUCAGGUAAGUUCUGACC
rnacentral:rRNA from 1 species